rnacentral:lncRNA from 1 species
UUCAUGUUGGCCAUGGCUUCCCUCCUGGCCCAUCUGUCGUCUGUGCUGAAAGGAGGAAGACCCAGAAGGGCCUGAGUAGCUUUCCUUGUAAACAUCUUUGGAGCCUUCAGCUCUGCGCUACUUUUGAGCCUUUGCCAUUGCCGUGUGCGCCUUGGAGCCUCACAAACUCCUUCCUGACUGGACACCUGCUCUGCUUCAGCCACACCCUUCAGUCCUUAAGGGAAGGUUUGCUAAGCAGGAGAGCCCAGGGGAGCUCUGUCUCGUGAGGACUAGGACUGAACCCAAGCCCACAUGACAGUGUUCUACCACUGGUGGCCCUCUUUUAAUUUUAUUUUGAGACAAGAUCUCACUGAGUUCUCCAUACUGGCCUCAAACUUGGAACGCUCAUGCCUUAGACUCCUGAAGAACUAGUAUUAUAGGCAUGAACCACUGUGCCUAGUCUUGAGGGCUUCUUGGUUAACUGCCUCUGUAAGAAUGGGCUCUGGGGUGCCAAACACCCAGCUUUGUGAGUUGCUAACACCCUGCCUGUCCCAUACAUGGCAUAAUAUCUGCCUAAUAAAUUUGUGUAAAAGGAU